AACGAACGCUGGCGGCAUGCCUAACACAUGCAAGUCGAACGAGACCUUCGGGUCUAGUGGCGCACGGGUGCGUAACGCGUGGGAACCUGCCCUUAGGUUCGGAAUAACUCCCCGAAAGGGGUGCUAAUACCGGAUAAUGUCUUCGGACCAAAGAUUUUAUCGCCUUUGGAUGGGCCCGCGUUGGAUUAGCUAGUUGGUAGGGUAAAAGCCUACCAAGGCGACGAUCCAUAGCUGGUCUGAGAGGAUGAUCAGCCACACUGGGACUGAGACACGGCCCAGACUCCUACGGGAGGCAGCAGUGGGGAAUAUUGGACAAUGGGCGAAAGCCUGAUCCAGCAAUGCCGCGUGAGUGAUGAAGGCCUUAGGGUUGUAAAGCUCUUUUACCCGGGAUGAUAAUGACAGUACCGGGAGAAUAAGCGCCGGCUAACUCCGUG
rnacentral:rRNA from 1 species